rnacentral:rRNA from 1 species
CCUACGGGUGGCAGCAGUGGGGAAUAUUGGACAAUGGGCGAAAGCCUGAUCCAGCCAUGCCGCGUGUGUGAAGAAGGCCUUCGGGUUGUAAAGCACUUUCAGUGGGAAAGAAAGCCUUGGGGCUAAUACCCUCGAGGAAGGACAUCACCCACAGAAGAAGCACCGGCUAACUCCGUGCCAGCAGCCGCGGUAAUACGGAGGGUGCGAGCGUUAAUCGGAAUUACUGGGCGUAAAGCGCGCGUAGGCGGUCUGAUAAGCCGGUUGUGAAAGCCCCGGGCUCAACCUGGGAACGGCAUCCGGAACUGUCAGGCUAGAGUGCAGGAGAGGAAGGUAGAAUUCCCGGUGUAGCGGUGAAAUGCGUAGAGAUCGGGAGGAAUACCAGUGGCGAAGGCGGUCUUCUGGACUGACACUGACGCUGAGGUGCGAAAGCGUGGGUAGCAAACAGGAUUAGAUACCCGGGUAGUC